UACGUAGGGUGCAAGCGUUGUCCGGAAUUAUUGGGCGUAAAGAGCUCGUAGGCGGUCUGUCGCGUCGGCUGUGAAAACCCGAGGCUCAACCUCGGGCCUGCAGUCGAUACGGGCAAACUAGAGUACUGCAGGGGAGACUGGAAUUCCUGGUGUAGCGGUGAAAUGACGCAGAUAUCAGGAGGAACACCGGUGGCGAAGGCGGGUCUCUGGGCGAGUAACUGA
rnacentral:rRNA from 1 species